CCUACGGGAGGCAGCAGUGAGGAAUAUUGGUCAAUGGGCGGGAGCCUGAACCAGCCAAGCCGCGUGAGGGAAGAAGGUACAGCGUAUCGUAAACCUCUUUUGUCAGGGAACAAAGGCGGGGACUAGUCCCCGGAUGAGGGUACCUGAAGAAAAAGCAUCGGCUAACUCCGUGCCAGCAGCCGCGGUAAUACGGAGGAUGCGAGCGUUAUCCGGAUUUAUGGGGUUAAAAGGGUGCGCAGGCGGCGUGUUAAGUCAGCGGUAAAAGCCCGGGGCUCAACCCCGGCGAGCCGUUGAAACUGGCGGGCUGGAGUUGGAGAGAGGUACGCGGAAUGCGAGGUGUAGCGGUGAAACGCUUAGAGAUCGCGCAGAACCCCGAUUGCGAAGGCAGCGUACCGGCUCCACACUGACGCUGAGGCACGAAAGCGUGGGUAUCGAACAGGAUUAGAUACCCCAGUAGUC
rnacentral:rRNA from 1 species